rnacentral:lncRNA from 1 species
GUGCUGCUCCGCUGAGAUGCGCCCGGGCUCCCUAAUUUAGGAACCCUUAAACCAAAAACACAUUUCCGACAAGGAAAAAUCAGGAUCUCUCUCUCCCUCCCUCUCCCUCUCCCUCUCCCCCCUCUCUUUUUCUUUCCUCUCUCUCUCUUCUUUCCUCUCUCUUUCUGCUCUCUCUCUCCUUUCCUCUCUCUUUCUUCUCUCUCUCUUCUUUCCUCUCUCUUUCUUCUCUCUCUCUCUGUUCUUUCCUCUCUUUCCUCUCUCUUUCUUUCCUCUCUCUUUCUUCUCUCUCUCCUUUCCUCUCUCUUUCUUCUCUCUCUCUCUGUUCUUUCCUCUCUUCUCUCUCACUUCUUUCCUCUCUCUUUCUUUCCUCUCUCUUUCUUCUCUCUCUCCUUUCCUCUCUCUUUCUUCUCUCUCUCUUCUUUCCUCUCUCUCUCUCUCUUCUUUCCUAUCUCUUUCUUCUCUCUCUCUCUCUUCUUUCCUCUCUUUCUUCUCUCGCUCUCUCUUCUUUCCUCUCUCUUUCUUCUCUCGCUCUCUUUUUCUUCUGUCUGUCUGUCUGUUUCUUUUUUCUUCUCUCCCUCCCUCCCUCCCUCCCCCCUUUCUUCUAUCUGUCCGUCUGCCUCCCUUUGGGAUCGCGACCUCGACGUCGCCUUUCCUCCACUCAACUCUUCUUCCCUUUAGAGGCGGAAUAUGGAAACAGGCGGAGCCCCGCCCACCUUCCUCUAGCCCCGCCCUCUACCUUUCUCCCCUUCGGCGGAGAUCCCUUCUCCCUUCCUCCGUUCCUGCCCGGUUGCGGCGGCUGCGAUCUCCCGGUCUUCCUCCAGGCUUCGUUCUUUUGUCUUCCUCCUCGUCCUCUGGUCUGCCCAGGAGGAUCAGUGAGCUCGGGGCAGAAGCGCCUCUCUCCGCCGGCAGCGCCUCCCUUCCCGGCGAUGAAGAGCGCGCCUCCCUGGGCUGGAAGAAGGCGAGUCCCCCGCGGCGGUUGAGGCGGUGGAAGAGCCAGGUGAGGAGGGGACAAGGUCGCCCAGUCUCGCUUCUCCCGGUUCUUUGGAGAGCAGAAUUGGUUGCCCUGCUGG